AAGAUUUUAAGUUACAUUAAACUAGAAACCUUCAAAGUUUCAAAAAAGAUUGAAAUCUUAAAUCUUA
rnacentral:tRNA from 1 species